AUCAAAAAAGUAUUUAAGUAUAUCUUUGUUUAGGCUUAUAAAUACAUAAUACCAAGUCAUGUACACGUACAUGUUGUGUGUAAAAUUAGAGCCAAUACAUGUACAUGUAUUAGACAAAAUAAUAAACCGCACGGACAGCAAGAAGGUCCUGGGUUCGAUUCCCAGGUUGAGCAGUCCAGGUCCUUUCUGUGUGGGUUUCCUCCGGGUGCUCCAGAUGCCUCCAACAGUUCAAAGACAUGCAGUCAGGCUAAUUGGAGAAUCCAGCACCCACUCUACCAACUGUGCCACCAUGCCGCUUUUAAGACACAUAAUUGUAGAUAAAUAAACAUAAACAGUGUUGAAAAGCAGAUAAAAAAUCUGUGGUGAUGUCCUCUGGUACCUCUGGUUCUAUAAUGCUAUCUCAAGCAAGGUGUUUGUUUCUGUCUGACAAGGCUGGAGGUUGGCGCAGGAGUCCACCAUGUUUGUGUUUUAAAAAAUGCAGGGCUCUUGGUCUAUUACUGACCGGGCAGCCGCAAACAAGAGAGCCGUGACUAACACCCCCCACCUCCCUUGUCACGUGUGCAGUAGCCGGCCGCAUCUUUUCACCUGCACCAAGUGGGUUCUUAUGGAGAUCCGAAGCACGCACUGAGAGUCACGCACCGAUCUCCAGCAGAUCAGCCAGCAGAGAUACAGAUGUUCCAGCUUGACGAGCGGCGAGAGGACGUUGGCGCGCAGCGAGGUUAUCUGGUUAUUCUGCAGGUUGAGUUGGCGCAGACUCCUCAGGCCCUGCAGCGUGGACUCCUGCAGCGUGUGGAUCCUGUUGUGGCCCAGGUGGAGGAUCUCCAGGCUGGAGGGGAGGCCACGGGGAACACCACGCAGCUUGUUCUUCUGGAGGUCUAGAGUUCGUAAUGACCUCUGAGACCUGAAGGCGUUGGCGUCAAGCUGCUCCACUCCACACGAGGUUGAGCCUCCUCAUGCCGUGAGGGAUCCCCGAGGGCACCGCCUGCACCCUAAAACACUGCACAGAGGCGCCCUGCUCACACACACACUUCUCCGGACAGGCGCGAUGGCAGAAGGAGCUGAGAGGGUACAGCAGGGUGUACAAGAGAACCAGCAGCAUCAUGUAGGCAUGACCGGGGGCACCAGAGUGGUGAAGCUGGAACCACACUGAGGUUUAAGUAAGCGGCCGGCUGUUUGGGAGUGAGAAUGUCGUGUCAGCAGAAACAGCAGAGAAGGAAAGAAGAACAGAAGGUCCUUCCCCAUCGUCCCUCCCCAUCGUCCCUCCCCAUCGUCCCUCCCCAUCGUCCUUCUCCAUCCUUCUGUCCAUCCUGUGAGGACAAUGUGCUGAUUAUAACUCCACAAGCAAAACAGGAUGGCAGAACAGAACUACCACAGAGAGAAAUGCAGACUCCACAUUUCCAAGAACAUUACCUAACAAACGGAUUAAAAUCAGACAUGAGAGACGGAACUUAAAUAAUAAAUAACAUGAAUG